AGCGAACGCUGGCGGCAGGCCUAACACAUGCAAGUCGAACGAAGCCUUCGGGCUUAGUGGCGGACGGGUGAGUAACACGUGGGAACGUACCUUUUGGUUCGGAAUAACGCAGAGAAAUUUGCGCUAAUACCGGAUGAGCCCUUCGGGGGAAAGAUUUAUCGCCGAAAGAUCGGCCCGCGUUGGAUUAGGUAGUUGGUGUGGUAAAGGCGCACCAAGCCUACGAUCCAUAGCUGAUCUGAGAGGAUGAUCAGCCACACUGGGACUGAGACACGGCCCAGACUCCUACGGGAGGCAGCAGUGGGGAAUCUUGCGCAAUGGGCGAAAGCCUGACGCAGCCAUGCCGCGUGAAUGAUGAAGGUCUUAGGAUUGUAAAAUUCUUUUACCAGGGACGAUAAUGACGGUACCUGGAGAAAAAGCCCCGGCUAACUUCGUGCCAGCAGCCGCAGUAAGAC
rnacentral:rRNA from 1 species